rnacentral:lncRNA from 1 species
UUCCGACUCCUCUGUCUCCUAACUAGACAGUUUGAGGUUCAGUAACCGCAACCCCCAAACCGGACGGGGUGGGCAAUUUCAAAAAUUGGUUCAAUUGGGAGGUCAAAUUUGCGUGCGGUGCUAUUUAGCAUUGGGUUCGUGAUGCUUUGCUCUUUCUGAAUGAGUCCAAUUAGGGUUUCGGGUUUCUAAAUUGAUAUCUGCUUUAAUAAUUUGGGGGUCACAAGAGAGGAGGAGGAAGAAAAGUGUUUGAAUUCAAUAAUUUCUUUCGUGGUGAUCUGGUGUUGUACCAGUUGAAGACCAAUUCGGGAUUCAUGUGAGAGUUGAUAACUGGUCACCAUUUGAUGAGCUAUUAACCCAAUGGAUCCUGAAGGAGCAAAGUUUGGAAGAGGACCAAGAGAGCUUACUAAUUCUGUAGAUCUCAUACUCACAGCAAAUUGCAUGCAAACCUUGAGUUGAGUUUGUCUGCAAGCGUACCCAGUACCCUUCAUGUAUCAAUUCCACUACCAGUCUUUGUUUACCCAUUCUGAAGUUAAAGUGAUACAUCAAAGCUAACGGGAAAAGGGGUUUUUUUUUUUUUUCUGGAGUUGUUUGGUUUUACCGCUUUUAGUUUAUUCACCUU